rnacentral:rRNA from 1 species
UUAAACCUCUUCCAGAGUAUCAGUUGGAGGGCAAGUCUGGUGCCAGCAGCCGCGGUAAUUCCAGCUCCAAUAGCGUAUAUUAAAAUUGUUGCAGUUAAAAAGCUCGUAGUUGAAUUUCUGCUGCAUUGCAUCUUCUUUUUGAUGAGUUGAUGUAUUGUGGCUUAUUUCGGAUGAUACUUGUAUUAUCCGGAUGAUUACUUUGAGAAAAUUAGAGUGCUCAAAGCAGGCUUUUGCCUUGAAUAGUUUAGCAUGGAAUAAUAAAGUAGGACUUUGGUUCUAUUUUGUUGGUUUUAGGUACCGAAGUAAUGGUUAAUAGGAACAGUUGGGGGCAUUCGUAUUUAACUGUCAGAGGUGAAAUUCUUAGAUUUGUUAAAGACGAACUACUGCGAAAGCAUUUGCCAAGGAUGUUUUCAUUAAUCAAGAACGAAAGUUAGGGGAUCGAAGACGAUCAGAUACCGUCGUAGUCCUAACCAUAAACUAUGCCGACUAGAGAUUGGAGGUCGUCAGUUUUUACGACUCCUUCAGCACCUUGAGAGAAAUCCAAGUCUUUGGGUUCUGGGGGGAGUAUGGUCGCAAGGCUGA